rnacentral:rRNA from 1 species
GAGUUUGAUCAUGGCUCAGGAUGAACGCUGGCGGCGUGCGUAACACAUGCAAGUUGGACGACGGUGCUAUGAAGUGGUAACACGGAAUGGUAUACGGAGUAGCGGACGGGUGAGUAAAGCAUGAGGAGCUGUCCUGUUGAGGGGGAUAACGUUCGGAAACGGACCCUAAUACCCCAUAGGCCGAGAGGUUAAAGGCAGAGAUGCGCGACAGGAGGUACUCGUGUCCUAUCAGCUGGUUGGUGAGGUAACGGCUCACCAAGGCGACGACGGGUAGCCGGCCUGAGAGGGUGACCGGCCACACUGGAACUGAGACACGGUCCAGACUCCUACGGGAGGCAGCAGUGGGGAAUAUUGGGCAAUGGGAGGAAUCCUGACCCAGCGACGCCGCGUGAACGAAGACGGCCUUCGGGUUGUAAAGUUCUUUUAUGUGGGAAGAAGGAAGUGA